GACGAACGCUGGCGGCGUGCCUAAUACAUGCAAGUCGAACGCAUUUUCUUUCACCGUAGCUUGCUACACCGAAAGAAAAUGAGUGGCGAACGGGUGAGUAACACGUUGGUAACCUGCCCAUCAGCGGGGGAUAACACUUGGAAACAGGUGCUAAUACCGCAUAAUUCCAUCUACCGCAUGGUAAAUGGAUGAAAGGCGCUUUUGCGUCACUGAUGGAUGGGCCCGCGGUGCAUUAGCUAGUUGGUGGGGUAACGGCCUACCAAGGCUGCGAUGCAUAGCCGACCUGAGAGGGUGAUCGGCCACACUGGGACUGAGACACGGCCCAGACUCCUACGGGAGGCAGCAGUAGGGAAUCUUCGGCAAUGGACGCAAGUCUGACCGAGCAACGCCGCGUGAGUGAAGAAGGUUUUCGGAUCGUAAAACUCUGUUGUUAGAGAAGAACAAGGAUGAGAGUGGAAAGUUCAUCCCUUGACGGUAUCUAACCAGAAAGCCACGGCUAACUACGUG
rnacentral:rRNA from 1 species